GAAUUUAUAGGGGAUGGCCACGGCAGGGUUGGUUUUCAGAACUUGAGAUAAUAUAAUGGCUACCGUGGCCGCGUGCUGGAGCAAGCUUACGCGUUCUUCGAGCAUCAUCGUAUUGCUGGUGGCGGUGGCAUUGGCCAUGGCUCCAAUUGCCCAUCAAAGUGAUGACCUUACGACAAACAUGACAGAUCAAAGUCCUGCGGGGACUGGUGUCGGUGGUCAUCAUUCCCCUCAUGAUCCUCCUUGCACAUCAUGUCCAUAUCCUGGUGCAAGUCCAUGGUGCCAUGUUCGAUGAAUGCUUCAUUUGCUGAAUUUUGAGCCAGCUAGAGUCAAUGCAGAAUCAAACACAUCUUCCUAUAAAUAUAGCAAUAACUGUGGUUUUCCAUGAGAGAGCAAUGGUUGGUUCCAUAUUGGUCUUUAAGCUUUAACUGUGACAAAAAUAUAUAGCUUUCCAACACAAUGUGAAUCAUUAUUUGAUAAAACAAAUUUCACCAUUGUGAAACUCAUUCAAAUUCUAUUUCUUAUCUCAUAUAUUGUUUUCC